CAAUUCCCAAAGGCCAGGCUUUGAAUAAGACUAAGGAGACAGCUGCAGGAAGACAAUCAGGCACUAUAGAGGCCUAGCAUUUGCGUCACAAAUCACCUAGCAACCGUACCAGCGCCAUGUUGAAAGUCCUCCAAUCGUACACAUGGCUGGCUGCAUUUUGCUACCACCUGAAACUUCAGGAAGAUUGCCCAUUAUUUCGUUUUUGUAAGGACCCAGAAAACGGAGGCAGUGGGAGAACUUAUUCAAAUACAGAGAGCUGUGAAACCCUGUCUGCAGAUGAAGAGGUCCCAAUGAAUGUCCCAAGAGAAUGAUUGUAUACCAUGGAUUAUAUGUGUACCUAUAUUAGCACAUACAGUUUAAAAGUCACACAAUGUAUAAACCUAUUACAACUGGAACAGGCCAACCCUGGUGGGUGUGCACGCUUCUGUUUCAGCCCAGCAUUAACACACCUGAUUCAAUGUAUCAAACCCAAUUAGUUAAUAAUCAAGUGUGCUAUUGCUGGGCUGGAAUGGAAGUCUACUCACCCAGUAGAUCAGGGAUCAGUGGAGUGAGGUUGGCCACCUCUGGUAUUGACUUUUUUAUUUUUUCACUUGAAAUUAUUAUUUAGUAAUAACCUACUUGUUACUAAAAUGUCUAAACUUUACAUAUGAAUUAGCUUACUUGUACACCUUUAAAUGAUAUGAAAGUGUUGAUUCUUUGAAGUUAAGUAUUUAAACUAGUUUCGAUGUUGAUUAAUAACAUCACAAUCUUGCAAUAAAGAGAGGAAGGGAAUCGGUC